AGCUUGCUCUUAUGAAGUUAGCGGCGGACGGGUGAGUAACACGUGGGUAACCUGCCCAUAAGACUGGGAUAACUCCGGGAAACCGGGGCUAAUACCGGAUAACAUUUUGAACCGCAUGGUUCGAAAUUGAAAGGCGGCUUCGGCUGUCACUUAUGGAUGGACCCGCGUCGCAUUAGCUAGUUGGUGAGGUAACGGCUCACCAAGGCAACGAUGCGUAGCCGACCUGAGAGGGUGAUCGGCCACACUGGGACUGAGACACGGCCCAGACUCCUACGGGAGGCAGCAGUAGGGAAUCUUCCGCAAUGGACGAAAGUCUGACGGAGCAACGCCGCGUGAGUGAUGAAGGCUUUCGGGUCGUAAAACUCUGUUGUUAGGGAAGAACAAGUGCUAGUUGAAUAAGCUGGCACCUUGACGGUACCUAACCAGAAAGCCACGGCUAACUACGUGCCAGCAGCCGCGGUAAUACGUAGGUGGCAAGCGUUAUCCGGAAUUAUUGGGCGUAAAGCGCGCGCAGGUGGUUUCUUAAGUCUGAUGUGAAAGCCCACGGCUCAACCGUGGAGGGUCAUUG
rnacentral:rRNA from 1 species